rnacentral:rRNA from 1 species
UACGUAGGGUGCGAGCGUUGUCCGGAAUUAUUGGGCGUAAAGGGCUCGUAGGCGGUUUGACGCGUCGGGAGUGAAAACUCAGGGCUUAACCCUGAGCCUGCUUCCGAUACGGGCAGACUAGAGGUAUGCAGGGGAGAACGGAAUUCCUGGUGUAGCGGUGAAAUGCGCAGAUAUCAGGAGGAACACCGGUGGCGAAGGCGGUUCUCUGGGCAUUACCUGACGCUGAGGAGCGAAAGUGUGGGGAGCGAACAGG